rnacentral:rRNA from 1 species
CCUACGGGUGGCAGCAGUGAGGAAUAUUGGUCAAUGGGCGCGAGCCUGAACCAGCCAAGUAGCGUGAAGGAUGAAUGCCCUACGGGUUGUAAACUUCUUUUAUAAAGGAAUAAAGUGAGGCACGUGUGCCUGUUUGAAUGUACUUUAUGAAUAAGGAUCGGCUAACUCCGUGCCAGCAGCCGCGGUAAUACGGAGGAUCCGAGCGUUAUCCGGAUUUAUUGGGUUUAAAGGGAGCGUAGAUGGGUUGUUAAGUCAGUGGUGAAAGUUUGCGGCUCAACCGUAAAAUUGCAGUUGAUACUGGCAGCCUUGAGUACAGUUGAAGUAUGCGGAAUGCGUGGUGUAGCGGUGAAAUGCUUAGAUAUCACGAAGAACUCCGAUUGCGAAGGCAGCUUACUAAACUGCCACUGACAUUGAUGCUCGAAAGUGUGGGUAUCGAACAGGAUUAGAUACCCUUGUAGUC